UACGGGGGGCAAGCGUUGUUCGGAAUUACUGGGCGUAAAGGGCUCGUAGGCGGCCAACUAAGUCAUACGUGAAAUCCCUCGGCUUAACCGGGGAACUGCGUCUGAUACUGGAUGGCUUGAGUUCGGGAGAGGGAUGCGGAAUUCCAGGUGUAGCGGUGAAAUGCGUAGAUAUCUGGAGGAACACCGGUGGCGAAGGCGGCAUCC
rnacentral:rRNA from 1 species